UACGUAGGUGGCGAGCGUUAUCCGGAUUUAUUGGGCGUAAAGGGCUCGUAGGCGGUUCGUCGCGUCCGGUGUGAAAGUCCAUCGCUUAACGGUGGAUCCGCGCCGGGUACGGGCGGGCUUGAGUGCGGUAGGGGAGACUGGAAUUCCCGGUGUAACGGUGGAAUGCGCAGAUAUCGGGAAGAACACCGGUGGCGAAGGCGGCCUUCUGGGCCAUCACUGACGCUGAGGCGCGAAAGCUAGGGGAGCAAACAGG
rnacentral:rRNA from 1 species